GAUCAUGGCUCAGAUUGAACGCUGGCGGCAGGCCUAACACACGCAAGUCGAGCGGAUGAAGAGAGCUUGCUCUUUGAUUCAGCGGCGGACGGGUGAGUAAUGCCUAGGAAUCUGCCUGAUAGUGGGAGACAACGUUUCGAAAGGGGCGACUAAUACCGCAUACGUCCUACGGGAGAAAGCAGGGGACCUUCGGGCCUUGCGCUAUCAGAUGAGCCUAGGUCGGAUUAGCUAGUUGG
rnacentral:rRNA from 1 species